rnacentral:lncRNA from 1 species
UGCUCUUUAUCACGUCAUUUGCCGCCGACGACCUAUAUCAUAUAUAUUCAACGAUCAGGAUUAAAUCAGCUCUUAAAUCUACGGUAAAUUGCUCAAUAUUCUUCUUAUACAUACCUCUUUCCGUCUUGACAGAUGAAGGUGUUGAUGUUCCCGUUUGGCAGUGUUUCCAGAUAGAAGUAGACAGCCGUUUGCUCCGAUAAGCCUUCGUCGGCGAGUAGAAGAAGACCGAAAGGACCCAAUGCACCACGACCGGAUGCACCUCCACCUGUGUUGCAGUCAUAUCUUCCGACAACAACAUCAUCCGGUGACGCCGUCUGUUGAUCAAUGAUCUCAAACUCGGCGGUUAUGUCUAACUCUGCCGUAUUGGCAGUUUUUAUAUUGAGCUGCACCAUGGAUCCGGCUGGAAGGUCGACGUUACUGAACUCUGUGUUUCUUCCUCGAAGUUGUUCCAGUUCUUCUACAGGCCAUUGGAGUAGAUUGGUUUUCGUCUUCUGAUCGAACCGGACAGUUCUCGGAAUAGUCUGAAGCGAAGCCCAACCUUUUAGAACAUCGGCCGACUCACUAUCGGACUCAGGCACCCAUCCCCACAACACACGUCUCUUCUUGACGGGGUCGUAGAAAGAUUUGGAAGCAUAGACAACGCCAUAAUCCAGUCGCAGUCCGAUGCCGACGUCGAUGUUAGGAUCGUCGGGAGUCCAAGUGUUAGCUUCAAGAUCGUAGGACCCAAUUGCGUAGUAAUCAUGUCUGUCGUCGUCUAAACUUACUUUCAUCACGUGUUUCACUCCAGAACCACUCAUCGUCGAUGUAUCUAAUCCUACAGUUUUGUCGGUAGAAAUUGGAUACAAAUCAAUGCACUCCCACAUCCCCGUCCCGGCGACACUGUGCAUGCUUCCAGGGAGCAGGUCGUAAUAGAGAAAAUCCUCGGUUUUGUAGGUUAUUGAAACGCCGCUCUUAUUCGAAUCUUUAGAUCCGAUAACUAUCCUCCAGGAAGAAUCUCCGGGGAAAUACCACGCCGUCGUUGGAUCUCUGAAGUCAGUAAUUCCAAUACCAGGUGGAGGUGCGAUGAUCGGGUUUGACUCGAAUUUCAUCCAGUCGAUCAGCAAAGGGUCUGAGAUAUUCGUCGGAACGGCUACAUUCUGGAGUUGAGCAGACGCGAAGGAAGAUCCGGUGUACAGCAUUAUGACCUUACCGUCGGGAAGGACUGUUGCAGAACCGGACCAAACUCCGUUUUCGUCGUACCAUUUGUCGGGAAACAUUGCGAUCGGAAGAUGCAACCAGUGUAUCAUGUCACGUGAGACGGAAUGUCCCCACGUGAUGUUGCCCCAGACGGCGGAAUCGGCGUUGUAUUGGUAAAAUAAAUGAUACCAACCCUUGUAGUACAUCACUCCUGUUCUCAAAAUUUAAGAAAAACGGUCCUUCAGAAUGUAAAUAACCAACAAAAAUUUAUUAUUUCGAUUGGAUAGAAGAGCAACUUACCGUUGGGAUCUGAAUAUACGGCGAUAUCGGAAAUGAAGCCACCGGCGACGGCGAGCAUGCAAAAAAAAGAGGAAACAAUAUCGUCAGAAGAAUGAAUGGAAACAAAAAAAAAUCUAUCAUUAUAUCGAUUGAUUUGUUUAUUAAUUUGAUAGAUUUCGUGAGUAGAUGAGUGCUUGAGAAUUAAUAACCAUUCAUCCAAUUCUCCUCCGGCUGGAAAUGGUACGCCGAUCGUUGCCAUAAGAGCAUUUUAUUAGUCCUUUCCGGCGAACCUGCAGAGAGAGUUUUAAAACCGACCCUCGAAGACUUCUCCGAUACGCCUUCACCGAACCCUCUAGGUACAUAUUCUCUCUCUGGAGGAUUCGUAUAUAUAACCUCUGGUACAACUAGAUUCCGGCAAGUUUCAAUGAAGGGUGAUUUCAAGACAAUCACAACUAAACCCAGUAGAACGACAGAAGCGACGGCAGCCAAAGCAAAGACCUUGGUUCGUUUUCGUCGCAAAGUGGCAGUAUCAAUCCUGCCAUAUUCACCGGUUUCCGACGGAAGAGGGAGAUACGAUUCGUCGGAGGAAACCAUGAUGGUGUGUUGUUGGUAAGGGGAGGAGAAUAGAUGUGUAUUUAUAAAUCUUCUAUGAAAAAAGCCCAAGAUAUUUUGAGUGUUGAUCACGUACAUCUCAAAAAUCAAAAUUAAUUACCACGUGAUUUUUUUCUAUUAAUACCAACAGUAUAAUCAAAAUUUAUUUUUGGAACGAUUGCUUUAACAAAAACACAAAGACAAAAAAAAAAAAAUUGACAUUUCGUAACUACCAAUAAUUCAAUAUCCAGAUCAUUAUCACCCAGCUUUCAAAAAACAUCAUCAUCAACGUUUUCUUUCUACAUAUUCCAGUGUUUUGGGAUAAUUAAAUAACAUUUUUUAAACUCACACGCAACUAUGCAACACGUAACUAUUGUGUUUUAAUUUUUAUUUAAACGUAAUUUAUCCAAAACAAAAUUACAGAUUUGAAAAAUGUGCGUAUUUAUUACCUUAUGAAAAGGUUUUAAAAAUGCUUCUAAUUGAGUCGUGUCGUUUUGAUGAUAUCAGAAAACGCGACCCGUCCAUUUUCAAUUAAGCACGGACUGCACGAAGAUAAUGUAAAAUUAUAAAUAAAUAAAAAUAGUUCGUUUCUUUCGUUGAGUCAAAGUCUUUGAAAAACAAACCACCAAGUCCACGACCAAUUUUAAAGAAAAAACCAAAGCAGAAGACUUCCUAAAAUUGAAUUUAAGGAGGAAAGUAAUCAACCCUUCGAGAAGGGAGGUCAAUAUUGUAAAUAACAGAAAUUAUGAUCGUACGAGAGUGGUGGGAAAGGAAGAAAAAAUUAUACGCUAGAAGAACAAAUUGAGAAGAUGGGGACGAAAAGGAUCAUAAGAAAGCUUCCCUUGUUUUCACAGGUAGUUCCAGUUCUAGGUCAGAUUCACCUAAUGGGGAAAAGUAUUCUUCAACCAUGUCUUCUGAUACAUGUCCCAAUGUUGGAGGAUCCCACUGUAAUCACAAGAAUGAACAGCUCGGAUAACUCAGAAGAAACUUAAUACUGUCGUGAUGAUAUCUAUAAAUUAUAAACUUAAUUUGUGACAUACCUUCGGAGCGAAAUCCUUUUCCACCAACCUUGCCCGGAUACCCUAUACAAUUCAUGAUUCGUGGUCAUGUUGGAUGAAAAAUUGAAAAUGAAUCAACCAACUUUAAAUUCCCCUGAGAUUAUAAAAGAACGCUACCUCACAAAAGUCGUUAGAAAUGUGUUUCGAGAUCCCAUGGACUGACAUCCGAUACUCCCGUGUCAAACAUUGAUCAAGGGAUUCAAACCUACCUUCACGUAUCUAUAUCCAUUAUACAUAGAAAAUGCAGUUAAAAAAUGGAAAUUCAAAGUUCAGACAUAAUCAGACUCCCAUCUUCAUAUAUGUAAAUAAUAAAUAAAGAAUAUGAGGAUCCCUAUUUGAAACAACUUACAGAUCGAAGAGAAACUUUCAGACUUAAUGGAGAAGCAUCUUUAAGUUUUUUAAGUGCCGAUGAACACCAAUUACUGCCUGACUUUGAAGCCUCGGUUUCCUGGUUGAGAAAUGCAAUGUAUAAUGGAAAGUUUCAGAAGAAGUAACAUACUAAAGUGAGCAGUCUACAAAUGUGCUACCUAUUUUGGAAGGAAGAUUAAAAGAAAAUAUUAAAUGUAAUGAAAUGAAAUGAAAUCAUACCAAUGAGUCAAUUAUUUCUUCUACAGUGUCAUGUCUGAAACAUUUAUCAACCAAUUCCAUCCUAAACAGACACCAAAAUAGACAAGUCAUUGAAUUUUAAUAUUAAAAAGAUAAUUAUUUAGAAAAACUGUUCAGAUAAGAGCCAAAAAAAAAAAUGAAAGUCUAAAUAAUAAUGACAUUUCUACAGUGUCAUGAUUUAAAUUUUAAUGCAAACAUUUGUGCCAGUAAUAUACUAUCUACAUUUUUGUAAAUAAGUAGAUUGAUAUUCUGAUUUCUAAAAACAUUAAAUAUUAUUAGGUAAAAUAACCUACAUGAUUUUUAAUAUAUUUUUUGAACAGUAUUUAAAUCAUCCAGAGUCGAGAAGAGCAAGGCAUGUGGUUGCUAAUUAUUUAAUUAAUAAUAUCAGAUAUUGUACUGGGAAAAUAUUACAGGAUACCUUCUGACAACACUCUCCUUAUCUGGGAAAACGAUAUCACCAUAUUGCUCAAGAGAGGUUUCAAUGACAGACGGAUCAUCAGUAACCAACGAAUCAAGUCGGUGGUCAACCCAGUCAAAUUUCUAUUGAUACAUAAAGGGAAAAAGUCAAACCAAUGAAGUGAGAAUAAAGUCUCCACGGCAAACAUUUGCAUAAAGAAAAGCAAUCACGGAGCAAUUCAAGCACAACCUCACUAGGGUAAUAGUGAGUAGCUAAUCCACAUGCCAUCAUUUCAAGUCCAUUAAGCUUUUCACCUGUUAGAGCUAAGUACUCCCCUGUGUAUGUCAAAUGUAACACAAGCUAAGUGAUUAAUUUACAGACUCUACAAAUUUAUAUGAUUGAAACAUUCACAAGGCAUUUUCAAGAUGAUCUGACUAACUAAUCUGAGGUUGUCCCAAAUCCGGGGCUUUUCUGCUGUGGCAUUACAAAUUGCAGUGUUUAAGAUUCCAGGAAUGUCAAAUUCCAGAAAAAAAAUUGACAUUGUAGUUUUCUAAGAGUUAGAGAAAAGGCCAGGAUCAUUUUUUAUUUAAUCAAACAAAUUCCUAACAUUUUUUAAACCACUGGUUUCUCCUUUGUUAUCAUAAAAAGGGGACUUGGGAGAUUUGUAGAAACUAGAAAAUAGAGUAUGUAUAAUUUUGGAUUUAGAUUUUGAGUAAAACUAAUUUUAACAAUCGAAAUUAAAUAUUUAAAUGCAACUGUGAGUUUAUGUAGGUAUUAUAAGGACAAUUUUACAACCCAUCAAAUUCCUAGGAAUCUCAUUUGCGUAAGACUGUGAGAUUCUAUCUCAAGUCCUUGACAACUUGGUGUAGUGGAAAAGACCUUGUGUGAUAAAAAAAAUAUUUAUAUACAAUUGGUUUCCCAAGAAUGGAUGUGGAUUCCAAGGAUAGAAAAAAGCCUUACCUAAAUAGCCAGGUAAAUGUGAAAGAUAAAAAGAAGCUCCAGCAUCUGGAUGGAACCCAAUGAUAGUUUCUGGAUUGGCAAAAAUCUACAAUUAAAGUAUAACAUAAUAAAUUUGAUGGGGGGAUCUUGAAUAAAUUGAACAAAAAAAGUAAAAAACAACUGGAAAAUGUAUAUGUUUUAUAUAAGAAAAUAUCUACAUUAUAGUAUCACAUAUUGAUCAUAUUAUUGUGCAUAUUAUUUGUAAGAUUCUUAUUUACUUACAGUUUUAUCAGUUGCAAGACGGAAUGUCCCGGGAAUGGAAACUCCUCCUCCACCUCCCAUGGUAACACCAUCCAAGAUUGCAACCUUAGGUCAAUGAUCAGUAAAGGUAAAUCAAGCAAGAGCCAUCAAACAAGAUUACAGUUUCAAGCAUUGAUAUUCUUAAUGUAGUUUGCAACCCCAGAGAAUUCAUAAUAUAAGAAUUGUCUACUAAAACUUAAUUAACUUUUGCAAAAUAAAAGUUCCAGAAAAUGAAACUUUACAUGUGGUUUAAGAUAUGUGCCGAGGAUAUAUAUGAAUCUAUAUAAGGUUCUGAAAAAGUUCUUGCAGUCUUCGACCUUCCCUGCAUUUAUCAUUCAUCAGGAUCAAAGUUGACAAAUUCUGUAAACUUUGAUUUUAUGAAAUGAAAGUACCAUCAUUGAGAAGCUGAUAGAGAGAAACAAUAUCUCCUCCAGCACAGAAUGAUCUGCCACUUCCCUUCAGAGAGUAAAAAUAAUAAUUUUAGCGAGAAAAACGAAACAUUACAAGUUACGAAAAACCUCAAGGAAACAAUAUCAAAAACCUUCAUGAUGACAAAUCCAAUAUCAGGAUUCUCUUCCCAGCUCUCAUACAACUUGAUCAACCUAGAACCCUGUAAUGAGCCAACAAAUCAUUAAUAUUUCAUAAUCUAACAACCGAAAUAAAAAGGUAGAAACAACAAAGAUGUCAUAAUAAUCAAGAAAUCAUCCACCAUUGUAGUGGUGAGAGCGUUCAAUGAAGAGGGUCUGUUAAAGAUCACUGUCCGAGAAGCUGCCCCUCCCUCAACACGAACCUACACACAAUAAAUAAAUAAAAAUGAUGGGAAAAAUCCAAAACCUACCAUUCGUAUAAUCAAACGAGUGAUGUGCAGUACGAUAAACACGAUAAAAUCAAAGGAAAAAAACCUGCUCCUCAUCUCGAGCAAAGGCUGCGGUAUGUGCUGAGAACUUCCUUUGCUGAAAAACGUCAACAACUGAGCAAAGAGAAGACAGAGAUCGUCUUGAUUUCGCUAAUGUCCGGAAUCUUUGCAUUUUACAAUUCUUUCUUCUCCGGUAUUAGAGAUUCUAGCAAAGACAGGGAUCCCGUUUAAUUUUUUUAAUCUCUGUUUAAUAAUCAAAAUUAAACAACCCUUAAAAUCAAACAAUCAAAAUUCAGAAAGGAAAAUAUCGAAAGAAAAUGAAAACAAUUAAACAAAUAGAAAAAGAAAAAUAUUUACUACCUUAAAGAAAAAAAAUAGAAGAUUAAAUUAAAAAAUUAAGUUUUACUCACAGAAACUUAAAUUAAAAAACAGUCCACCACGAACAUCCAGAUAUCUGCACAAAUGUGAAAUGAUAAAUCCACAAUUAAAAUGAGUGUUUCACGGUAUUCAUCUUUCAAGAAAAAUGAUAAUAUCGCCUCCCCCCAAAAAAACUAAACCAAAACAGCCUGACCCAAAAAUAAAUCUUAUCGUCUCCUCUCCCCAAAAAAAUCUAUCUCGACGAUGGAGAGUGAAAGAGUGGCGAAUGGGAGAUACAAUCAUACAGAUAGAAGGAAAACUUAACGAAUGGGAGUAUUGCUGGAUUUGUUGAAAUCGUAAGAUGAAGAAAUCGAUUAGGGAGGUGGUGGAGGUAGAUGAAAAAGUCGAUUAUAGAAUAGAGGUUUAGGGAGUUGACAAUAUAAGGGAGAAAAAGGUCCGCCCCUGUGUCGACUGGAGUCCCAGAACCUCGGACCGAAGGGCGCGGCUGUAUACUUUCAAAGGAUCUCCAGCAAAAUUUUAAACACCAAACACACCUAGGGUUUAGAAAGGAUUCUUGAAUUUUAUUGGUAGAAUAUCAGUUUAACCCUUAAUUUCUUUAUGUAAUUUAUAUUGGUGAUUCGGAGCACUCCUCCUGCCCAUCUCGAACAACAUCUGUCCAAUCCUUGAACUUCAUUCCCGCUCAGUUCUUCUCCUUUAUCUUCAUGCUCAUUCUUCAUGUAAUACUCGUGGUUCGGCCCUUGUGACUCGGAGCACUUCUCCUGCCGAUCUCGAACAACAUCCGUUCAAUCCUUGAACUUCAUUCCCGCUCAGUUCUUCUCCUUUCUCUUCACGCUUCAUGUACCUGUUAAACCCUUUUUUCGGUGGCCCUCUAUCCUCACUCAUAUUGGUGGCCCAACCAUUUUCGGUGGCUCUCGUAUCUCACUCAGUGAUGUUUGCAGAGUCAUUUUUGGAUAGUCCCACACAUAGGCUCCAAUAAUCCAUACAAAUCCUUUCUUCCCUUCAGCCGAUCUUUCGAGUCCUAUUAACCCCUUUUUUGGUGGCCCGACCCCAUUUAGGUAGCACUCUUACCUCAUUCACUGAUGAUAGAUCAUCUUCCGUUUGGACCCUAAACAGGGGUUCCACAGAUUCUAACAAGAUGCCCCAACCCUUUUCGGUGGCUCUCGUAUCUCACUCAGUGAUGUUUGCAGAGUCAUUUUUGGAUAGUCCCACACAGAAGCUCCAAUAAUCCAUACAAAUCCUUUCUUCCCUUCAGCCGAUCCUUCGAGUCCUGUUAACCCCUUUUUUGGUGGCACUCUAUUCUUACUCAAUUUGGUGGCCCGACCCCAUUUAGGUAGCACUCUUACCUCACUCACUGAUGAUAGAUCGUCUUCCGUUUGGACCCUAAACAGGGGUUCCACAGAUUCUAACAAGAUGCCCCAACCCAUUUUUCCUGGCACUCCAGUCUCACUCAGAUUAUCCCCAUUGCAAGGCCCGCUUUGCUCUGGGCCGGGUCGAAUAAUUUUAUACCUGCCUUUUUGUCUUUGCCCUCAUUCUGGUGGUCCGCCCAAUAUAUUUCGGUGGCUCUCAAUCCUUCCUUUAAUGAUUUUGCCCAUCCCAUUAUGUUUUCCCUGCAAAUAAUAUACCAGUACGUACCUAUCAUAGAGUCCAUAGUCUGUAUAGUUUCUCCUCUUCCCUGGAUCCAGUCUUUUUAAAUUUAGAGUUUUUUUGAAUUAUGUAAUUACAAUAUUACCAUUGUUUUUUUUGAAUGAAAAUGAGGAAAAAAUUCAAUUAUUAUAGAGCUAUCGUGUAUUCGUAUUAAAAUUCAUUUAAGUGUUUCAUUAGUGAUAAUUAUAAGUAAUAACACAUUAUAACAUCUGAAACAAAAAUGGAGAGAUUUGCAAUGUAGGAUUAUAAAUUAUAAUUUGCAAACUAUUGAAAAAAGAUUACAAAAAAAUACUAUGCAAAUUGUAAUAUAUAAUUUGUGAAAAUAAAACACCGCAUCUUGAAUUCUUGAUAAUAAUUUACACAAUAUAAACAGUAAAAAAAGAAGUCUUGUACAAAAUUAUUUGCGAAAUAGGAUUGAACUAUCUAUGUAAAUAAACUAAAUUUAUCAUUUGCAGAAAUUUCAGCAGCAGCAAAAAUUGUGACUGUUUAUUUGGAAACUGUGUUUCAUUGUUCUCUUGCUCAUUUCGAAUGUAUGGAAUCGGAACCCCCCCAGUUUACCAGGUAUCUGAGAAACACUAAAACCUGCAUUUAAAAACGAGGCUUUGCUUGAAAAAACUUGAAUUAAAUUCAAUUGGCUUAAUAGAGAUCCUUGUAAAAGGGGGGCUUGUUUGCAAACCUCAGAUGGAUCUCUUAACGAAUAGAAUGCACUGGAGUCUUUUGGAACAGAGGACACCACAAUUCCAUAUCCACGAGUCUUCUCUCUCAACACCUUGAAAGCAUCUUCGUCAGUUCGGUCAUCCCCAACAAAUAUUGGAAGCACGUCCUCGGAAUUACCUAGAUCAAGAGAUUGAAGCAAAAAUUCUACUGCUUUUCCCUUGUUCCAAUCAAGUAUGGGACGGAUUUCUAAAACCUGCUGUUCAUAAUUAAAUUAAAGAUGGUUUGUUUGCUUGCUAUUGCUACUAUGAAUGUGUAUUUCUUUUACAAAUUUCACCUUCCGCCCAUGCGUCAAUUUUAGAUUCGGAUAGUCUUUAAGAGUAUCGUGGACAAUCUGCGAAACAUCAAGCCAGGCCUGAAGCAAAAAGAUGGUGUAAAUUAUUUUGGUUAAUAAUCCAAAUGUAUAGAGAGUAGAGACAGCAACCCGCCAACUACCUUCUUUUCUACUUGGCGGUAAUGUACCGACACAGUAAACUUGUUAUUCUCCACUAUUGCGCCUUUAAUUCUCCCCAUACUCUCAACAAGAGAUCUAAAAACCUAUCAAAGAUGAUGUCAGAAGAAAUAUAAUUGUACCAGAAAUCUAAUCAAUGUAUCAGACAAUCUGAAUUUACCAUUACAUCAAGAAACAAACUGGUCAGCGGGCUGUGAUGUUCUUAUUUUCAGACAGAUUUUUUUAUGAAAGAAGUGAAAUAGUUAAUAAAUACCUUGUUGAUGGUAGGUAAAAAUUCAGUUGCAGGUUGGAACAUCUGAGAUUCCUUCCUCUGUUACAAUGUAGAGAGAGAAAACGAAAUAUACAUACAGGCAUGAAAUAUAUGUUACAAUGUAGAUUCAAACUAGAUUAGCAAACACAGGCAUGAAAAAAUUACCUGGAUUCCAGUGCUUCUAAUGCAGUUUUGGUAGUCUUUAAAAAGAAACUUAGAUCCUCUGACUGGACCCAUCAUGUCCAUUCCAUGACUACCAGCAUAGUAUAGUUCAGUUAAUCCUACUAAUUCAAACACCUGUAAUGAUAAUAUACUCACUCCAUAGUAACAUAAUUGACAAAAAAAUACCUAUUACUAAGUAGUGAUAAGCAUAUAUCUAUGCAAUGCAAAUGCACGCUAUCAGUGUACAUUGUUAACCUUAUCACGACUUCUUCCACUAAUAAUGGCUGUUGGAAAAUACUCAGCUACACUUUUCACAGCAGUACGCAUCUGCAAAUCAAAUGAAAAGAUAUACAUUUACAUAACCCAAAUCUAAAAAACUAGAAAGCACGAUCAUUGUAGGAUCUAUCAUGCUUUAAAUCUUGAAUAGAGCGAGCGUGUUUACCUCGCUCGACAUGAAUGCAGAGUCCGGAUGAUUAACAAUGGGAGAAAGUGUGCCGUCAUAAUCGAGAAACAAUGCUAUUUUCUUUCCUUUUGCAUGAUCAGUCAUUUGUUCAAAAGAAGUAAGAGCAGAUGGGUACUUAAACUGUAAGAAAGACACAAACAAGCAUGCAUACAUCUACAAGAUUAGAUACAUAUAGUAAAAACUAAAGAUUUGAUUCAAAGCAAAAAGAAAUACUUACCAUCCAGAGCUUGUAUUUUGGCAAAGCUUCUUCUUGGGCAUGGUCUUUAAGAUGAUUCGUCCUAAUCUUUUUACGACUGGGUGAUGAUGACUCUGUGACAUCGAUCUUUCCAUCAGCAAGACCAUCAUCCAGAUUUCCACUAAUCGUUUUUUUCUUGGAGAAUGGUGCAAUCGAAGGUGUGGAGGAUUUGCAAUUUAAUUUGAGAUCCAUCGAUCUGGAUGAGGUUUCACGAUGGUUUGUUUGUUUUACAAGAGAUCUUGAAUUAUUACCCUACCCUUUUAUCAAUGAAAAACCACCUCUUCAAUGUCUUUUCAUCACUGUUUGCAUUGUCCAUUAAGCAUACAUAUAUAACAGCUACCUGAAAACUGGUGUAAAAAUAACGAACAAAUCAAUAUAAAAACAAACUAUAAGAAAAAAAUUGUGGUUGUAAUUUUACAAUUGCAUUUCUGAAACCAACCCAGGAAUACUUGCAACAUCCUGAGGAUUGGAAGUAGGUAAGUAAUCAAAGUAAGAGGUUGGUUGUUGGGGUUUAGUAUGAGUAUCCUAUCGCUUUGCUAUCAGUGGGGUCUCAAUUCUCAACACUCAAUCAAUGUCUCUCAUUAUUAAAAUAAAAAAAAGAUUACUUCCAUUAAAAGAAACAAGAAUACAAGAUCAUCCUCCACGACAAGCAAGCCACAAAGGGUAACCAUUACCAUUUACUAUUUACCAAGUCAAUGAACAAACUCCAACGGAUCAGAUUUGGAAACGGAAACAUCAUCUUCAAGUGCAAUCUAACAAAAAUCCUAGUUACUUAAACGACCUAAAAAAACGAACAAUCAUGUCGAAAACCCGAUCAACCUACCUACCUACCUAAAUACCCAAUCUGGCAAUCGGGUUCAAACUUACGGAUCGAUUCAAGCAAAGUAGCAAGUAUAUACAAUAAUAAAAAGAAGAAAAAAACACGAGAUUACCUAGAUUCUGGAUCGGAGAUCGAGGGUAGCGGGGUGGGGCUUUGGAGGGAGAGGGAGGAGCGCGUGAUGUGAUUUGGUUAUUUAUAUAUAAUAGAGUGGGGGCGGUUUAAUACGAUUUAAUUCCGAUAUAUAAUCAGAAAGACGUGCAGAGGAAGUGAGAGCACUAGAACAGUAGUGGUCACAUUGACAGCAAAAACGCUAUUUCUUUAUUUUUUCCUGCCAUUCGAACUGCCGACCGAACCUGUAGGUGGACCAAAUACGACACGCGGCGCAUCAGAGUUGCAGAAAGUUAGUGACACCUAUAAAAUUUUGUCAGACCUUGUCACAUUGACGUGGCCACGUUGGAAACGGAUGGUUGUGUUUCUCGCCACGUAGAUGAAUAGUGAGAUGUCGCUUUCGUGCUGAUAUGGCGCACCGAACUGAUGGAUGCCAACACGUCAUGUGAGGAAAACAUUGAUUUUUUUAUGUACGGAUGAGCUGGAGAUGACGUGGUACCGGAAGGAUCUUAACUUGUCGUUUUGUUCACUUUUUCCUUUGACGUCAUGAUAGACGUGUAAGGGUGAAAAUUAGGCGGGUCAGCCAAAAUCGACCGGAACGGGUAUCCCGGACCGACGCUCAUCUCUAUUAUUAAACAAGCAUGUUUCAAGUUGAGUUAAACCUAUUAAAUAUUAAAUUUAAGAUUGCUUGCUUGCUAACAAAAUGAGUUAAGUUAGACUCAUUUAAAAAACUAAUAAGCCAAACCAAACUUGAAUCUAUUAAGCCAAGCUCAAUUUGCAUCAUUAAUUUUGCAUCCUAAAUUUCUAAUUCCAUCUCUGAUUCGUCUUUAAAUAUUUUAUUUCGCUGAUCAUUUUCUAAUUUAAUUUCCGUCUUGACUUUUCGUCCUUAAGUCGUCUCUUUUUAAGACGGUUUAAAUUAAAAAUAAAAUAAAGGGAUUACAAAACUACAAUAAAAAACAAUUAAUUAAACAACUAAAAGUACGAUAGGAUGUGUGAAAUAAGUAUAACUUGUUAAUCCUCGGUUUGUAGGUCAGUAAUCAAUAGCGAAGCUUCCUCUCACCUUUUGAUAGUUGUAUCUUCCAAACUUAACCUGUGCGUUUUUUUAAGUAGGUGAUAGUCAUAGAUGAUAGUCAAAUCUCGUAUGAAAUCUCUUGCGAUGACUCUAACCGGCCGUGAGAGCCUCUCCUUAUGUCGUAGGUUCCUCUCCCUCCAAAGAUGUCAUAUAAAUAUUGCAAGUGCAUUCCAAUGUAGUCACCAGCAUGGUGCUGACUUCUUGAAUUUGGAUAUCCCUUCUAUGAUAUCACCCACCCUUAUAUCUCCUUGCUUUAUCGCUGUGAUACCCAUAAUCUUCCAUAGAGCAUAGUCCGUCAAACGUGUAAAUUCGUUCCAAAGAAACCAGCUGAAGUUGCAAUUGAAAAAUAGGUGGGCUGUCGUUUCCUUAGUUGCAUCACAUAGGACACACUUUGCUGGUACCACUAUCCCUCAAUUUCUCAAUUUAUCGAAUGUUCUUAACUUUCCCCAUCUCAAUCUCCCUAAGCAGAAGACCAUCUUUGAGGUACGGCAUGUCCGAUCCACACUCCAACGGCCAGAGGAUCAGAGAUGGUUGUCGGUGAUAAUUUUGCUCUUAUAAGGCUCGAUUUUAUACUUCCACUGACUGAGCGAUCCAGCCCUGCAAAAUAGCAUAAUUCGAUAUCUUCUUUGGCUCUCAGAAUGCUAGAACAGAUCGGAAAAUCUUUGGGGUGGGUUUGAAUAUCAGUCAACUCUCUCCCUUUGGAAUAGCGUGCCCGUAUCCAAACUGCCCAAGGAGAACUCCCAUUCCAGAUUUUAUGUGCCCAUUUGACCUUAGCAACUCUUGCGAGUAGCACCGGGUCCGCCAAGCCUAGGCCCCCGUCCUCUUUGGCCAUAACCAUUCUGCUUCAUGCCAUACCUUUAGAAUCUCCCCAUAUAAACCGAUAAAUAAUUUGUCGUGUUUUUUUUAUAAUCGUCAUGGAAAUUUUGAAACAUUGGAACCAAUACUGUAGCUUCCCCACUAAAACCCAAUUUGUAAGUUGAACUUUUCCUCCAUAUGACAAUGCUUUGUUUUUCCACUUUUGAAGAUAAGAAUUUAAUUGAUCAACUAGCGUGGCACAAUCCGCUCCUUUAAUAUCCCUCCCAACUAGAGUAGGGAAGCAAAUCGAGUAUGAAGCAAAUCGAGUAGGGAAGGGAUCGUCGGCUCUAACUAUUCCGAACAAUCGAAGCAAUUAUCGCCCCAAUUUAAUUAAUUCAUCGGUGCCCCUGUUAAAGACACCCAAUAUGCAACCUCUACCAACGAGCAAGCCAAAUCCGGGGUAUCGCAAGCCACGCCCUCCUACGAGGAGAGAAAAGCCAGAGCAGCAAAAGGCCUAUGCUUCUACUGCGAGGAGAAGUUUGUGCCGGGCCAUCGUUGCAGGGGGCGGUAUUUUAGAUUCGACAUGGAGUCGAAUUGUCUAAUAGAAAUGUGUGACGAGGAACAAGCCCUGCCAGCUAUCGAACUUGCUGGACACGAAGAAUGCAAUAUUCCAGCAACCGAGAUUAGUAUGCAUGCUUUGUCUGGAGCUUUCAAUCCGCGAACGCUGCGCAUACCAGGAUACAUCAAGGGAAAGGAAAUAUCUAUCCUUAUCAAUAAUGGAAGCACGAACAAUUUCAUACAAGACUCGAUUGUGGGUCAUCUGGAUCUGGAAAUCGAAGCAAUCCCACAGUUUGAUGUCUUCAUCGGCAGCGGGGCUUCAAUACCAUGUUCCGACGUCUGUCGACGUGUUGCAGUUUCAAUGCAAAACAUUACCAUCUUAGAAGACAUCUUCGUCCUCAAAAUGGAAGGAGCCAACAUCGUGUUGGGUUGCCAAUGGCUGGAAAAGCUUGGUCCGAUCACCACCGAUCAGAAGAAAUUAACAAUGAAGUUUGAGGGACCUAAAGGGAAGAUUCGACUGAAAGGGGACCCUCACUUAGUCGACAUGUAUUAGAAAUACAACCCCAUAAAGAUUUAAAAUCAUAAACACACCCUUAAUGUAAAUACUAUUUUUAAACCCCUAAGUUAUAUAUAUAUAUAUAUAUAUAUAUUAUAACAUAUCAAAACCCCAAGUUAUAUGUAUAUUACAUAUAUAUCCCUACUGCAUAUAUAUGUAUAUCUCCAUGACUUCUCACAUUCCUUUUCUAGGAAUUCCCAUACAUCAUUAAUUCCAUAUCCAUCAUUAAUUCCCUUAUCAUGAUUAAUACCAAACACCAACAUAUAGCCGUUGGGUGUUUUAGUAUUUAAACCUACCUAAGCCUCCAUCAUAGAUCAACGCUUUCACCAUCUACAAUUCAUCAAACACAUACACAUACACAUACACUCUGUUUUUCAACAACGCUUAGCUGCUGCUCAAAUACUUCCGCUCAAUUACAUCAUCAAACCUGCUAAUCAUCCGUUGGAUAAUCGAGCUUCAUUCCAAUCAAUCGAUCAUCCAACAGUAUCAACAAUUUACAUAUUCAUAUAUACUUUAAGCAUCAUAUAUUUCCAUUCAUCAUUUGAAUUGCUUAAGUAUUACAUAUUUAUAUGAUUGUUUGAUCAUAUCAUCCAUAUCAAAACUCUAUCAACAUGGCUAUAUCGGGAAACAGUUUGAAACGAAUGACAGUAAAAAGAAGAGUGGCUUACUACUGCCAACUAAUUUGUGAACCAGAGGAAUCAGUCGGCGACCCAAUCUUAUCGGAGCAAGUAAGGAAGAUUAUUACCCAACAUGACUAUCUCUUUGCAGAACCUUCUGAGCUACCCCCAGAACGAAGGCUAAAUCAUCGUAUUAUUCUAACCUCAAACACGGCCCCAAUCAACGUCCACCCAUACCGCUAUCCGCAGUUUAAGAAAAACUAGAUCGAAAAACUUACCCGUGAAAUGCUAAAUCAAGGACUCAUCAGACCGAGCUCGAGCCCCUUCUCGUCUCUGAUUUUACUUGUGCAAAAGAAGGACGGCAAUUGGCGAUUAUGUGUUGAUUAUUGUGCGCUCAACGCUGCCACAAUCCGUAACCGUUUCUCGAUCCCAACCAUAGAUGAGCUCAUUGACGAGCUUCACGGUGCGAGCGUAUUUUCCAAACUGGACUUGAGGGCAGGGUACCAUCAGAUACGCAUUGACUCCGCUGACAUCCAUAAGACGGCGUUCCGAACGCAUCACGGUCACUAUGAGUUCACCGUGAUGCCAUUCGGACUGACCAACGCCCCGACAAUAUUCCAGUUCACCAUGAAUGAGGUUUUGGGUCCGUUCCUUCGGAAGUUUGUCGUAGUGUUCUUUGACGACAUUCUAAUUUAUAGCAGAUCCGAGGUAGAGCAUGGCGAGCAUUUGGGGAGAGUGCUAACGACAUUGGGAGAGCACAAAUUCUUCUUAAGGUGAACGAAGUGUGAGUUUGCGGUCCAGAGUCUGCAAUUUUUGUGGCACAUUAUAUCCGCAGGGGGGGACUAAGCCCGACCCAGAGAAAAUUGCCGCGGUAGAAGCUUGGCCGACUCCUCGGACUGUAAAGGAUGUUCGAAGUUUUCUUAGUCUAUCCGGUUACUAUAGACGCUUCAUUGCAAGAUAUGCACAAAUUGCGGCCGCCCUGACCAAUUUACUUAAGAGAAGUAAAGGAUUUCACUGGGGAGAGAAGGAAGAAUUGGUCUUCCAAGCACUAAAAAACGCAUUAGUAUCCGCGCCGGUCUUGAGUUUUCCAAAUUUUGAUAGACCCUUCCAGAUAGACACUGAUGCGUGUGAGUUUGGCGUCGGAGCAGUUCUGUCUUAAGACGGCCACCCAUUAGCCUACUACAAUAAGAAACUGUCCGACGUACGACAGAAGACCUCGACAUAUGCGAGAGAACUUUGGGAAAUUGCGGAUGUUGUUCAGAGGUGGCGACACUAUCUGCUAGGUCAUCAGUUUGAAAUUAGGAUCGAUCACCGGAGCUUGAAGAACUUGCUCUCGCAAUCCAUCCAGACUCCAGACCAACAGUUCUUCCUAAGCAAGUUACUCGGAUUUAAUUUUACAAUCACCUACAAGUCGGGUAAGGAGAACCUCGCGGCCGACGCCCUGUCAUGAUAUCCGGCCAACCUUGAAACAUCGGAGAAGAUGUUGAAUCACUUGGUAGCAGUUUUGAGGGAAGAAUUUUCGGAUCGGAUCCGGGCUGAAGUGGAAUCGGAUCCCUAUUAUAAAACAUUGAAGGAAAAAAUCGGGAAGGAAGACUCAGCAAUGAAAAUCUCGGCCGUCCUGAUUCGUUACAACGGGAGGAUUGCGCUCAACCCCGACUCUCCACUGGUUAUCGCAAUUUUGGAAGAGAUGCACUCCUCACGAUUAGGCGGCCACUCAGGGAUAACACGUACCCUCACACGAAUUCGGCCUUGGUUCUGGUGGAGAAACAUGGGAAAAAUUAUUGCGAAAUUUGUGGUCGAAUGUAAGGUAUGCCAGCAAGUUAAAGACUCCACCAGCCGACCCAUUGGCCUCUUAUAACCCUUGACUAUUCCAAGUGAGAUAUGGGAAUCAAUCUCUAUGGAUUUCAUCACAGGAUUGUCGAAGGUUAGGGGUCAUUCAGUAAUCAUUACAGUAGUGGAUCGCCUCAGCAAGUUCUGCCAUCUAGGUUGUUUACUGGCAAAUUAUAUAGAGGUUGUGGUCGUCGAGUUCUUCAUUCAAAACAUUGUUAAGAUUCACGGGUUCCCCAAGUCGAUCAUCUCGGACAGGGACAAGGUUUUCGUGAGCGCCUUUUGGAAGGAGCUAAUGAGUAGAAGUGGCACGACGUUAAAACUCUCUACGGCGUAUCACCCGGAGACGGACGGGCAAGCCGAGGUCGUUAAUAAAACAAUCGAAACUUAUCUACGAGUAAUAGUCCAUGACAACCAGAGCAGGUGGAAGGAAGCUUUGCCGUGGGCCGAGCUCUGGUAUAACACAGCUCAUCACCACAGCCUAGGAACAUCCCCGUACGAGGCGGUUUUCGAACAACGACCUCCGGAAUUAAUUGGAUAUACGAUAGGAGAUUCUCUACUGCCCGCGGUCGACCAAGAAUUAGUGCGUCGAAAUGUCCUACUGAAAGAACUCAAGGAAAAUCUCAAGGUUGCGCAUGGAAAUCAGAAAUUAAGACCCAGCAAGUAUUAAUCACAUGGAAGGGUCUACCGGCAGAGGAAACUAGUUGGGAGGAUAUCAUCUAUCUCAAAAAAAUCAUGCCGGAGCUGAACCUUGAGGACAAGGUUAAUUUUGUAGACGGAAGAGAUGUAACGUGGCCGGUGCCACUGAAUAUUAUUCCCGACAAGUUGCGCCAAUACUGCGAGGUGGACUUUUGCAACCUGGACAGGAGGUCCUGACAACCGAGACAGAGGACGUGCCCCGUCGCUUUGCUCGCCGCACGACCACCACCCAAAAGCCUGACUUCGUUUAUGAUUAAUCUGUUAGUUAGUAGGUAGUCGUACUCUGUUGCUUUAUUACUCUAUUUAAGGUAUUGAAGAAGCCUGAAGAAGGCAUUGAACAUUUUUAUCAAACAUUACUCUAUCCCUUUUUAAUUCUUCUACGAAUCUCUCCUAUCUUCUCAUCUAUUCCGAUCGAUUCUCCGUCCAUUCGCCGCCGACCACGUUCCACCCCUGUAGCCAUAGCUUGGUAGAAGAUUUUACUAGACGCAGUUUAGAGUUGAAGGUGAACAUAGCGGUGCAGAUUUGAUUCCCAACAUUUUUUGACUAACUCCAGAUAUCCUUUCUGUCCCAUCCAUGUGUUGACAAAACGAAACUGCCUCUUGGCUUUAGAAAUUUGAUAAAAGGUAAUCUCCAAUCCAUGAUGAUCGGCGGACCCCGCAGUGUAGACAGGUUAAAUUGGCAUUAAUUAGGGUUCUAUCAAUCCGACUCUCGCAUCUAUUGCUUCCAACUGCAUCAUUACUCCAAGUAAAAAAUCCUCCUUUUAUAGGCAUUUCAGUAGUGUAUGUACUAUUAAUCAUCGAUCGAAAUUCAGCCGACCCCACGUCGGAAUAAUCUCUUUGUCCUCUUCUUUCGGUGGCACAAGUAACCUCAUUAAAAUCACCUAAUAUUAUCUAUUUUUCAUGGCGGAUUGUCGGGUAAAUUUUAAUUAGAUCCUCCCAAAGAGAACUUUCCGUAGGCGUAUUUCGACAGUAGACAAACGUGAUAUAUAAGGAUAAUCCAACGUUAUUGGUAAACUUGAAAUGCAUUAGUUGUUUAGUUACAGAUAAUAGGCUUCCUAACCAGAUCGUUGGAUUCCAGAAAAUCCAUAUCGAAUCACCUUUAUUAGGUUCCAAUGCACUAGAGUUUGAUAAGUGUGCCCAUGUAUCUUUGAAAAAUUCAGCAAUUUUCCCUUGAUUAAUUCUCCUAACUCAUGUCUCUAGGAUUCCAACAAUUUCCAAUCUUUUCCUAGCCAUUAGCGCCAACACCUCCCUUUUCUUUUUCUUACCAUUGAACCCCCUCACAUUCUACAUGAAAAGCGCCAUCUCGGUUCUUAGACGACCCUGGUGGAGAUCUAGAGGAUUUAAUGACCAGCAACGCCGCCUCGAGGAGCCUCUUGCGCUGCAUGUGAAAUUAAGAAUUGGGUGAUUUGGUGUUUCCAUACUAGCCCUGGAUUUGGAUUUGGGUUAUCAAUAGUCAUAACCGAGGGAAUUGGAAUCUCAUUCACAUUGACAGCUAGUGAUAAAGAUGACAGCUUGUUGAUGCAUGUCUUGUGGGCUUAGACCCUGUGGGAUGGCGUUCAGAUCUAUAUCCCUAGUUUGGUUCACAAGUUGAUUUAAUCUUAGUGUUGAAUCCACUGAGCUAUCUGAGCCCUCCUCUUCUUCAUCCAGGGUAUUCAUGAUCGAAACGCUGACUUCGUCUGUAUGCGCUACGACCUUCUCAGCUGAUUUCAUCCUUAAGUCGUUCCUAAUCCCUCCUUAAAUUGUUAUGUCGGCAUAAAAAAUAUAAGUGAAACCCAAAUGGUUGUUCUCUAAAAGCCUCACACAUAUAUUUGUUACUUGAAAAUAUACAUUCAUUCAUAAUAUAACAAUUCAAAAUCAUUCAUUUACAUUACAUACAUUUAUACAUUCAUUGUUCAAUUCAUAAUACAUUUGAUAGUACGGGUCCGGCACGUAGAACACGGUACUAAAAGACAUCCCUCGAAACACCUGACACGUAGAGGAGGGAGGAGUAUUGCUGAUACAAUAUCCCGAACUUGGGUCACAACACAUCACCAACUAAAGAUUCGAAUAGCCCAAGAUGAAUUGAGAUACCCAUAUAGGUUUGUGGAGGUUUCAAGUCAACUCACGGGAAGGUUGACUUUUACAGAAGUCAACUUUACCCAGCUUGACUUUCCCAGAGUUCGACUUUAUCCAGUUAGACUUCUGAGAAAGUCGAACUCUGGGAAAGUCGACUUGAAACCAGAUCUGGACAGUUAGGCGGUUACGGCCCAAAUGAUCAGAUUGCCUCAAUAAAAAAUCCUAUAAAUGGAGGACACCCCUCAUUCAUUUGGAGGAGGUUGAUUCCAGUGAAAGAAGUCUCAGUGAAGCAGAGUCAGAGCAACUGAGAAGUUCGGACUGAUUUCUCCAUGAAGUUCCCCGCUAGACACUUGUUUGAAACGUCAUUCAAUUUAAAGAAACAUAAAUGAAUUCAAUUCACAAUUAUUUAAAAUCUAAAAAUAAGGGUACUGACCGAGUUAUAGAAAUAAAAAAACCAAGUCUAACUAUGUUUGUUUGUAAUAAAAAUAUAUGUGUCAAAAUAAAACAACUUACGAACACACAAAAAAAAACUAAAAACCUUAGUUACUAAUCAAUUGAACUAAUCUCUUGUGUAGAAUAAUACUAUUAGAAUUUAGAAACUUCCUCUUUUUUUUCUUUUUCUUUUUCUUUCUCAAAACUCAAAAGCAAUUAAAUUAGAAACUUCCUAAUUUACACCGCUAAGACAAGUAACAGCAAUUGGU